rnacentral:rRNA from 1 species
UACGUAGGGCGCAAGCGUUGUCCGGAAUUAUUGGGCGUAAAGAGCUCGUAGGCGGCUUGUCGCGUCGGUUGUGAAAGCCCGGGGCUUAACCCCAGGUCUGCAGUCGAUACGGGCAGGCUAGAGUUCGGUAGGGGAGAUCGGAAUUCCUGGUGUAGCGGUGAAAUGCGCAGAUAUCAGGAGGAACACCGGUGGCGAAGGCGGAUCUCUGGGCCGAUACUGACGCUGAGGAGCGAAAGCGUGGGGAGCGAACAGG